rnacentral:rRNA from 1 species
GAAUUGCGAUAAUUGUUGCGAAACGCAUCUYGUGAGUCAUCGAGUUUUUGAACGCACAUUGCACCUUUUCUUAGGAAUAGGUAUGCCUGUUUGAGCUUCAGUC